UACAGAGGUCUCAAGCGUUGUUCGGAUUCAUUGGGCGUAAAGGGCGCGUAGGCUGCGGGGCAAGUCGGGUGUGAAAUCUCAGAGCUCAACUCUGAAACUGCACUCGAUACUGCUUUGCUUGAGGACUGGAGAGGAGAGUGGAAUUCCUGGUGUAGCGGUGAAAUGCGCAGAUAUCAGGAGGAACACCAAUGGCGAAGGCAGCACUCUGGGACGUGACUGACGCUGAGACGCGAAAGCGUGGGGAGCAAACAGG
rnacentral:rRNA from 1 species